rnacentral:rRNA from 1 species
UACGUAGGGGGCAAGCGUUGUCCGGAAUCAUUGGGCGUAAAGCGCGCGUAGGCGGCCCUGUAAGUUCGUUGUGAAAGUCAAAGGCUCAACCUUUGAAAGCCGAUGGAUACUGCAGGGCUAGAGUCCGGAAGAGGCGAGUGGAAUUCCUGGUGUAGCGGUGGAAUGCGCAGAUAUCAGGAGGAACACCAAUAGCGAAGGCAGCUCGCUGGGACGGUACUGACGCUAAGGCGCGAAAGCGUGGGGAGCGAACAGG